rnacentral:tRNA from 1 species
AAUAUAUUAUUAUUAUAUUAUUUAUAUAUUAUUUAUAUUUUUUUAUUUAAUUUUAAUUUAAGUUAAAUAUAUUA